UCUCGUCGCGUGAACAUUCUUUCGUUACGGGUUUCUCGAAAACACUCGUGCCACGUGCUUCUUCGUGCCGCGUUACUUUCACUCGACCGGUUCCUGUUCGCGUGAAACGAGUUCCCGCUCGAUUUUACCUUGCCGAAAAUUGUGAACAGGUGCAUACACCAGUCGCCCAAGUCGCGUGCGAGGAUCGGGGGAAAAUCGCCUCGAAGGUUGUUGCAAUUCAAAUCGUCGCGAUUCUUAUGUAUUUAUACGUACGCGUACGUGUUCCUCUUUCCGUGCAUUCGUCUCCUCGAUUUCCUCCGUUCGUCAAAGACCAACGUUCGAAUGGGAAAACGAAACACGUAGAUACGGAAAAUUUGGCGAACAUCCGUGAAAACUGAGUGACGGGAGGUGGAAGAUCAAAGAGGAUCGAGGAUCGACCGAGGCUUGCUUCAUAGAGGGAUCUACGCGACUAGCCACGUGGUUGCUGCGCAAACAGAUCGGAUGGAACGAGAGUGGAAAAAAUAGUAAUUGCGGAGUGGAGAUGAUUCCCUACUAACAGAGUGUGGAGAUUAACCGAGUGUUGAAGUGAGAGCCGCAUUAACGUGUUAUUAACGUGAUGUAACGAACACAGCGAGAGUAAUCAUGGAGAAGGUCUGCUGGUCGACCUGGAGUAAUCCGAGAGCCACGAAGGACCGCGGCGCGGAGGAAUCGAAAGGCUGACGGUAUCCAGAAACACGUUCGAUAUAUAACAGAAGCCGCGAGAGAAGCAACGAGCCUGUCAGCCACGUAGAGAAGCAGACCAAGACGUCGGUACUCGCGACACCUCGCACGAAUUUCGCCAUUCCCGCCCGACAUUCCAAGCUUCCGUCGCGUCUGGGGAUCGAGGGGAACUCUGGACGAGAGGACAUGUCCCGGAAGUGGCUGCACAGAGGAGACGACACGUGCAAGCCGCCGGACAUUCGAAGACAGCGG